AUGAAUCCCUCGUCAGCCCCGGGUCCGGACGGUUUACAUGUCUGUUUCUUCCAGCUAUUCUGGCUAUCCAUCAAAAGCGAAAUCCUCGCGUUGUUUCAGGAAUUCGCUCAAGGUGUACUCAAUCUCUCCCGGUUAAACUACGAAAUCAUCUCGCUGAUCCCAAAGGUACCGGGGGCUUCGGAUAUCCGGCAAUUCCGGCCUAUCGCGGUUAUCAAUGUGAUAUUUCAGAUUCUCGCCAAAUGGUACGCCAAUAGGGCGGCCUUUCUCGCCCCCUAGAUUACCCAUCCGAACCAGACCGCUUUCAUUAAGGGUCGAUAUAUCCUGGAUGGGAUCCUGGUUCUCCAUGAGGUUAUUCUUGAAGUCAAGAAGAAGCAUCUCAAGGCGGUCUUCUUCAAGAUCGACUUUCACAAAGCAUAUGAUACUGUGCAUUGGUCCUUCCUUCGGGAGGUGUUAAUUAGGAAGGGUUUUGAUCCUCAAUGGAUUGCUAGGGUGAUGCAAUUGGUGAUGAGCGGCCGGUCGGCAGUUAACAUCAAUGGAGAAGUAGGCCCUUACUUCCAAACAGCACAGGGUGUGCGUCAAGGGGACCCUCUCUCCCCCUUCUUAUUUAACCUUGUAGUCGAUGCCCUCACAGCCAUAUUAGACUUGGCCAAGCGGGCUGGACAUAUCAGGGGUAUUUGCCUGCAUCCCCUUGAUGGCGGUGGGAUUACCCACCUCCAAUAUGCAUGA
rnacentral:rRNA from 1 species